rnacentral:rRNA from 1 species
ACUGCCUGAUGGAGGGGGAUAACUACUGGAAACGGUAGCUAAUACCGCAUAACGUCGCAAGACCAAAGAGGGGGACCUUCGGGCCUCUUGCCAUCGGAUGUGCCCAGAUGGGAUUAGCUAGUAGGUGGGGUAACGGCUCACCUAGGCGACGAUCCCUAGCUGGUCUGAGAGGAUGACCAGCCACACUGGAACUGAGACACGGUCCAGACUCCUACGGGAGGCAGCAGUGGGGAAUAUUGCACAAUGGGCGCAAGCCUGAUGCAGCCAUGCCGCGUGUAUGAAGAAGGCCUUCGGGUUGUAAAGUACUUUCAGCGGGGAGGAAGGGAGUAAAGUUAAUACCUUUGCUCAUUGACGUUACCCGCAGAAGAAGCACCGGCUAACUCCGUGCCAGCAGCCGCGGUAAUACGGAGGGUGCAAGCGUUAAUCGGAAUUACUGGGCGUAAAGCGCACGCAGGCGGUUUGUUAAGUCAGAUGUGAAAUCCCCGGGCUCAACCUGGGAACUGCAUCUGAUACUGGCAAGCUUGAGUCUCGUAGAGGGGGGUAGAAUUCCAGGUGUAGCGGUGAAAUGCGUAGAGAUCUGGAGGAAUANCCGGUGGCGAAGGCGGCCCCCUGGACGAAGACUGACGCUCAGGGCGAGACGUGGGGAGCAAACA